rnacentral:lncRNA from 9 species
AUGUGCUACAACCUCCGCGCGGCCGCGGCCGCCACCACCUCGCCCGCGCCGGAGCCGGAGCCCGAGCCCGAGCCGGAGCUGCCGCUCUUCCGCCCGCCCGGCCGGCCUUCGGCUCCCAGCGCGCUGUCUCCGCCGCCGCCCCGCUCUCGCCCGGCGCUUGACGCAGUGAGCGCCGCAGCCGGGCCCCCGCCAGCUCCGCUCCUCUUCCCGUCGCAGGCCGAGCCCAGCCGGGCGGGCUCCGGGAGGGGCGGGCAGGGCGCGAGGGGGAGGAGAACUGUCUGGAGCCAGCGAGGCCGGAGGAGGAAGAGCAGGAGGAAGGAGGGGAAGCCGCCGCUGCCGCCGCCGCCGCGCUCCGGGGACCUGGGCGCGCGCGCUCCGCUCGCCCGUGACCGUGCCUCUAGCCCCAGGCCCACAUUCCUGCCCAGAACCACGCGCGCAAGCAGCUUCGGGGGCUUUGUCCCCAGGGCUGGCCACGGACCCCGCCCCCUCUGUCACUGCCAGACCCUGACGCCCUCCAGCGCGCGCGUGCUCCGGCGAUCAGAGAGCCUUGGUGAGCGAGAAGCAGCGUCCUUUCCCCUGCUCUGGGUCUGGGGGUGCGGUAGGGGGCGUGGAGCAGCCGUGUUGAGUCCAUGACAGCUGUCCUCGCGGCGGCGCCCGGCGUCUCUGUAACAGAAUUAAUGACUUACACGCAGGCCGCCAAUUGGCGCGGCCUGGGGGGAGGGGCGACCCAGCU